AGAUUGAACGCUGGCGGAAUGCUUUACACAUGCAAGUCGAGCGGCAGCGCGGGGCAACCUGGCGGCGAGCGGCGAACGGGUGAGUAACACAUCGGAACAUGUCCAUUCGUGGGGGAUAGCCCGGCGAAAGCCGGAUUAAUACCGCAUACGCCCUACGGGGGAAAGCGGGGGACUUCGCAAGAGGCCUCGCGCGAAUGGGUUGCCGAUGUCCGAUAGCUAGUUGGUGGGUAAAGCUUACCAAGGCGAUGAUCGGUAGCUGGUCUGAGAGGAUGAUCAGCCACACUGGGACUGACGACACGGCCCAGACUACCUACGGGAGCCAGCAGGUGGGAAUUUUGGACGAAGUGGGGGGACCAACCCGUGACU
rnacentral:rRNA from 1 species